AGUGAACGCUGGCGGUAGGCCUAACACAUGCAAGUCGAACGGCAGCACAGUAAGAGCUUGCUCUUACGGGUGGCGAGUGGCGGACGGGUGAGGAAUACAUCGGAAUCUACUUUUUCGUGGGGGAUAACGUAGGGAAACUUACGCUAAUACCGCAUACGACCUACGGGUGAAAGCAUGGGAUCUUCGGACCUUGCGCGAUUGAAUGAGCCGAUGUCGGAUUAGCUAGUUGGCGGGGUAAAGGCCCACCAAGGCGACGAUCCGUAGCUGGUCUGAGAGGAUGGUAGACCACACUGGAACUGGGACACGGUCCAGGCUCCUAAGGGACGCAGCAGUGGGGAAUAUUGGGCAAUGGGCGCAAACCUGAUCCAACCAUACCGCGUGGGUGAAAGAAGCCUUCGGGUUGUGAAGCCCUUUUGUUGGGAAAAAAAAGCAGCAGGUUGAUACCCCGCUGGUCUGACGGUACCCAAAAAAUAAGCACCGGCUAACUUCGUG
rnacentral:rRNA from 1 species